AGAGGCCGAACUACGGCUGCCUCGUGUGCGCUCUCCUGCAUCUCGCGUGGGAGCGAGUGGUGGUGACUAGCAUAGAAGGUGGAGGAGGUCAUUGGGGCCGGCUUCCCUUCCGUUUUGGCUGCCAAGCUCCACGCGUUGGUGAGUCCCUCUCUCUAUCCCUCUACAUCUCUCCCUCUCUUUGUCAGAGGGCAGCUGCCGCCCCGAGGUGCAGGCGGCCAUGGAAAAACACAAGAUGCCACACCUGGCUUUCCCCCUUGCCUCCUGCCCUCUCUCUUCAGCUCAUCUAUUUACAUGUGCAAAUACUUUUUUAUCUAUGCCUGCAAGGUGUUUGAUGAAAGUUCAGUAAGGCUGUGAGGGAAUACCAAACGAGAGAGGAUCCAGUAUCUGUUACAUGCAUCAGGUUGACACCAACUUCAUGCAUUUUGCUUCAAGAUCAUUGUUACUUUAAUUCAAGAUAUUUUCUCAUUCUGUUGGAAGAUAGAAAUGAUGGUUGUAGAAAGAUAAUUGUUCUACUUGGAUACCUUUCUUUGUUUUUGUUUGCAUUGAAGUAAUAAUGUUCAACUGCAGAUAUAGUUUGC
rnacentral:lncRNA from 1 species